rnacentral:rRNA from 1 species
GCUAAUACUCUAUACGCCGAGAGGUAAAAGGAUUUAUCCACCUUAGGAAGAGCUCGCGUCUGAUUAGCUUGUUGGUAAGGUAAUGGCUUACCAAGGCGACGAUCAGUAGCUGGUUUGAGAGGACGACCAGCCACACUGGGACUGAGACACGGCCCAGACUCCUACGGGAGGCAGCAGUGGGGAAUUUUCCGCAAUGGGCGAAAGCCUGACGGAGCAAUACCGCGUGAGGGAUGAAAGCCUGUGGGUUGUAAACCUCUUUUCUCAAGGAAGAAGUUCUGACGGUACUUGAGGAAUAAGCAUCGGCUAACUCUGUGCCAGCAGCCGCGGUAAUACAGAGGAUGCAAGCGUUAUCCGGAAUCACUGGGCAUAAAGCGUCUGUAGGUUGCCUACCAAGUCUGCUGUUAAAGAUCAGGGCCUAACCCUGGGAAAGCAGUGGAAACUAGUAGGCUUGAGUGUGGUAGAGGUAGAGGGAAUUCCUGGUGUAGCGGUGAAAUGCGUAGAUAUUAGGAAGAACACCAAUGGCGAAAGCACUCUACUGGGCCAUAACUGACACUGAGAGACGACAGCUAGGGGAGCAAAUGGGAAUAGAUA